AAAAAUCACAUGACAACAACAUGGCGGCGUUACAAACCCAAUAUGCCAUGAACUCAUGAUGAAGUUUGAAUAACGUGACAGAACUGAUAUGAACACAAUAUCUUAACAGGUAUUUUAAUUAGGUAUAUACUCAUUCAUCGAAUCAGAAUCAGAAUGGUGAAAGAAAAUGUAACAAAAUAACUUAAAAUAUACGAAGCCUAGCUGACACCAAAUUGAAGUUCUGCUCCUUCUUGGAAUAUUAGUGUUGUUAUUCAAACCAGAAAAAUUAGAAGAAAAUAUUUGGAGAAUGGGACUACCUUUGACCCAGAGACUUGGGUACAGUAUAGGCCAUGUCCUGAAUGACCUGACAGCCUCAGUAUGGUUCAGUUAUCUCAUUGUGUAUUUCCAUCAAGUGAUGAACUUUAAUAACAAUUUGGCGGGAUAUUUGAUGCUGAUAGGGCAAGUGAGUGAUGCGAUGUUUACACCAUUUAUCGGGUAUGAGUCGGACAGAACUAGGGGAUUCUGUGGUCUAGGAAGGAGAAAAGCAUGGCAUCUUGUAGGCACAAUAUCCGUGGCUUGCAGUUACCCUUUCCUCUUCAAUGACUGCAUAGGUUAUCCAAACGCCCCUGAUUGGUCCAAAUUCAUCUACUUUGCUCCAUUUGUGGUCAUUUUCCAGUUUGGCUGGGCAGCCACCCAGAUUUCUCACUUGUCACUUAUACCUGAUCUCACCUCUGAUGAUAACGAGAGAGUAGAGCUCAAUGGAAUCAGGUACGCCUUCACCGUCCUGUCCAAUCUGGUGGUGUUUGGAAUCUUCUGGUUGUUGUUUCUCCUCCACGGUGACCAUAGCGACAACAUGGAGAGCCAGCUGACCUCUGUGGAUGCUCUCAAGUUCAGGAACCUGGUGUUCAUCAUUGUUGGUAUGGGCAUUGUCUUCAGUAUAGCCUUCCAUUUAAUCGUUCGCGAACCAGUACAGCAUGACGAUGUAAGCACUGCAGAAAACGCCAUCUCAGACGGUUUCUCCACAACGAUAGAAAAAUCUACAGUUCUUCGAACCAGAAUGACAUGGAAAUGUUGGUUAAAAACAAAGCAGUUUUAUCAGAUUGCAGUAGUAUAUAUGUCUACUCGGUUGUUUGUAAAUGUAUCUCAGAUCUACCUUCCGUUGUAUGUAACGGAAACCCUGGACCUUCCCAAGGACUCUGUUGCCAUUUUUCCAUUGGUUGUGUAUGUUUCCGGUUUUGUGGCCUCAAUUGCAAUGAGACUGGUCAACUCUCGACUGGGACGAAAGCCACAUAUGCCCUGGGGCUGGCGCUUGGUAUGGGGGCUUGUGCCUGGAUUUACUUUUUGAAUCACGACAAUGCCAAGCAAGUGUAUGGGGCGGUCAUUCUGCUUGGUCUGGGGGGAUCUACCAUGUUGGUGACCUCUUUAGCCAUGACCUCUGACCUUAUUGCCUGCAAUGUGGAAUCAGGAGCAUUUGUUUAUGGUGCCAUGAGUUUUACUGACAAACUCUCUAAUGGGGUCGCAGUUGUGUUAAUACAACACCUGCAUCCUUGUGUAGCAUGUUGUCCGAGCUGUAAAGAUUAUUACCGUCAGGUCCUGACCUUUGUCCCAGGGGGCGUGGCAGUUGUAGCGUUCAUUGCUCUUUUAUCUCUACUUCCAUACAAAAUAGGACUGCGACCUAACACAGGCAAUGCAUUGAAAACUGCAGUUGAUGGAAUAAAGGCAGACAACUCUUGCCCUGCUGAUGAAACCAGUCCUCUCCUUGAGGAACAUAGACCACAAAGUGCUACAAUACAGACUUGAGUGUUAGAUUGAUAAGAACAAUGUUUCAGUAAUUGUCUCAUUUGUAUUAUGUAAAGAACAUACAGUGUACAUUUUUUUAAUAUCCAAGUGCAUGCAUAGGCAUGAAAUUCAAAUUUUAACUUGAUGGGUAAAUAUUCUAUAUUUGAAUACAAUGUACAUGAUUUAUGAUGAAAAAAGAUUCUGUUCAAACCAAUCAGAUCUCAAUUUCAUGAUAAUAAAUUGAUAUUGUGGUUUUGGACACUAUACAAUUAUUUUAUAGUUCAUCAUACUGUUUGCAAUUAUUGAACAAUUUAUUUUUCUUUCAUGUUCAUAUUUUUAUUUAAUUGGUACAACGUGUAAUAUUAUACAUAUAUUUUCAUUCAUUUAAUUCCCGUAAUAAAUAAAUGUGAAAAAGGACUCUUUUUAUGAGCAUGCACUUUAAACAUUUUUUAGAUGUAGACAUAUUUUAUAAACUUUUAUUAUGUAUUCCAAACAUUUUCAUUUACUAUAGUUGUAUUGUUAAAUAUUUAUUUAUUUCCAUUAAAGACUGUUGAUAAUAUUAUAUUGUAGGCAAUCAUAAUUAUGAUGAAUAUGCAUUACGAUGUAUACAUGGCAUAAUGAAUAUGUAUUGUGAUGUUCUUCCAGCGUCUAGUCAUUGUUGGCGUUUGAUUCAUGUCUUACCAUUGUAAUGUCUAAAUUGAGUGUUUUAUAAAACUCAAAUUGCAUUCUGUCUGUUGAAUUAGUGUUAUAUACUUGUAUUGCAUUCUGUGUGUUGAUGUAGCGUUAUAUACUCAUAUUGCAUCCGUCUGCUGAUAUAUUUUACACAAGAAAAUAAUUUGGAAGUGGGUGGGGGUGGAUUGCCAAGGUCAGUGCUUCUACCUGUACUGUGAUAUUUCUUGGAUAUAUGUUGGAAAUUUCUGAUGUUAAUUGUCUAAUGAAUUAUUAAUAGAUUACCAGCAUCCCUCCUUAAAAUCAAAAUGUACAAGGAACGUGUGUAUUGGACUCUAUCUGUGUACAUUCCUGCAUUGUUGCGAAACAUAAAAACUGAAAAUAUUUAGAGUAAAGUUAUUAUUGUCAUUUUCUUACUAGUUCAUUUCUCUUGUAUCAAAAGGCGCAUUUUUAAAUUGAAUUAGACAAGUUCUCAAUUUAUACGAGUCCAUUGUCUUUCAUCUGUUUAUAUGAUUUGAUAUGCUGUGAUACAAGAAUGCCACGGUGCAUGCAGAGAUAUAUAUGUUUUAAUAAAAACAUUAACUAC
rnacentral:misc_RNA from 1 species